AGACCCGAAGGCGAGGCCGGGCCUUGGCUGCCGCCAGAGCUGGCGCAAGGCCGGACCCACCGGGGCCAGAUGAAAGGAUGUCAACAUUUAGACUUUACCCUUGGUAUCCCAAGUGACACCGCUGGCUAGAGUGUAUCUACAGGGGCAAAACAUCUCAAAGAACUCAAGUUGCUGUAGGUUACCUCCGCUUCCUCAAACAUCUGUCUCUAUGGGCACUCUACCGCCCAACCACUAACUCAACAAGGAGGUGGAUGCUGAGGAGGCAAGUCCAAGAUGGUUUUGAAGGACUGUGACGUUAAAGGUAGCAUCAUCCUGGCAAGCAGGUUCUCAUUCAUGCUGGCUGCUGAUGCUUCAAACUAACAAAGAUUCACCGUGGCGGAUUUUUGGCGAGGGAAGCAGGAAUGGUCGAGACAAGCUGCCAAACAAUGAGCUGCAAGGGGGCUUCACCAGACAAGUGAUCCCGCUGGACAGACAGGUCAUGAGCUAAGGGAGCUGAUGACAUCAACAACAUCUAAUAUGGAUUCCCAGGGAUGGAGCAACUGAAGCUGAUGUCAAGACUUCUAGGAACUCCUCUUGAAUACCCAGGGAAGUGGCCAUGCACUGCAACAGGUCCUGGUGCACCUUGAAAUCCUGCGGUACGGAAGGGGAGGAAGAGCCUGGCACCGUGGAAUUGUCCAGGGAUGAGAAUGAGGCGGUUAAACUGUGCCAGAGCUGAAUCCUGCUCCAAGGCUGACAGGACCAGGCAGGAUGAAUCUGGAGGCUCCUCAAGGGGAAGGUUCACCGGUACCAGAACCUGUGGCAGAUCGAUGGUCACUGCUACAGACCUGGCCAAUGAUCUCUGCUUCAAGCGGGAUGAGGUGUGGGACCUAUAUAUCCGAGCAGUGGCCCCCGGAGGCCACUGGUAUGAAUAUGGCAGUGGUAGCCAGUAGGUGCCGGAGCAGGGGCCCCUGUCCCAACCAUGAGACAAGCGCCAGUCUAGCACUCCAUGAACGCCCCUUGCUCAGGCCAUGGAAAGAGAGAGGAAUAAGAUUCAACCUCAGACGCCAAGGAGACCUGGGGGUUAGCUGUGGGGCCAGCCCUGAUAGUGCAAGCAGCCAGUCCGACUUGUCCAUAGCCCAGAAUGACCAGGGGGCUGGCAUCAAUGGUGGAAACGAUAGCGCCAGCAACGAGUAUGCCUUUGUCGUUUCUGGUGCUGGAGCAAUGUUGACCCUGAAGUCGUCAUCAGUACUGAAGUAACUAAUGGUGCCAAAGUGGAAAGUGGUGACUUUGCUAUGGCAACAUUGGCAUUUCCAGCCACAGGGGCUACCAAAGAAGUUCCAGGUGCUGAGGAGGUCCCUUGUGCCAAGUCCAGUGCCAGCCCCAUUUCCACUGUAUAGAAGGGAAAUAUCGGGGUGCAGCAUCAGCAGAUGGAUAGGUUCAGCAGCCGGCUGAGCCAGUGGGGCUAUAAAGGGCACAGCCCUGUCAAAGUCCUGAACCAAGGGAGAGGUUGGGACAGAAAGAUAGAGGAGGUCUGCUGCUGCCAGAUACACCACCAGCAUGGAAGCAGCUGGUGCUGGCAUCGCCCUCAUCGGUACUGAACUCAACGGAUGCCCAGGGUUGGAACCGGACUCAACAAUACGGGGUGGCUGGCCCCUGUGCGCAGUGCUGGGGAGUGGUUGACUUGUCCUGCUCCAUCCUGCACACACCAGUAUUCACCCCAUGCUGAUCCACAUGCCUUCUGGAGGGGGGGCGGUGGGGAGACGAGUCCCCAUAGGACCUGGAUUGGCCUCCGUUGGUCUUAUGUGACUUUUUCCUCAGUACACUUGAUGGGGAACAAUUCCUCCCUCUCUUUGGAAAUGCGCCAGCUCCAGGGUGCAAAGCAGCAGCACUCUCCAAAUCUGAGGGUGACCUGCAAUCUGAUGAGGCCUUGGUACCAAAACAGGCCACAUGGCCUGUUAGAGCAGGUGCUGUUUCAGAUGAAGAUCCCCACCUCUUUGUUCAUGAAACACUCAUCUGUAAAUCAAACACCGCUCCUUGCGGUGUGCUUCACUUCACGUAGGCAUAACAAGCACCGUGUGUGGGGAUUGUUGUUGGGGAUCAUUCCCCCACACAACAGACAAGGUUUAAACCUUGGUGAGGGUAUCAACCAGGGAACACUUAAACUAAGUCUAACUCACAAUUUACUAGGGAUACUAAUGAACUAUAUACGAGAAAAGAAGUCACUGAAUAGAGGAUUGUAAGGUUGAAAACCUCAGAGCUCCGACUCCAGCCACGGGUGGUAAGAAGGACCUGAAGUGGUAGAGGGGUCAGGGCAGCACCGCCUCAUAUAGGCAGGGGAGAGGCUAAAGCCAGGAGGUGUGAGUACCCUCCUCCCCUGUAUGGGUACUGCUAGGUAAAAUUCUCCAGCCCGCGCAUGCUGGAUGUGUGCAAACCUAAGUGGCUGCAGCUACUCAAAGAAUUAACUCUUCAGUUCUUUGUGUAGUAAUUGCCUGCCCACAACAAAAAAGAUGAAUAGUAUAUUUUAUAUAUACAUACAUACAUACAUGUUACCCCCCCCACCCCUGUAUUUGUGUGGAAGUGAUAUCCAGGUGAUGUAUUCAGUUCAUCAUGCACUUUGAUCACAUCACUCCUCUCAUUUAUUCUAACAUUCCAAACCCCAGAGCAGCUCAAGCAGGUGUCUCAAAUUUGUUUUUAAAAAGUUGACCUGCCAAAGAACUGUUUCCUCCCACCAGGUGAUAUUUCCCAUCAAUGUUACAUCCUAACAAGGCCUAGGAUGAGCAAGAUUUAGUACAGAAAAAGAAAAAGAGGACUUGUGGCACCUUAGACUAACAAAUUUAUUUGAGCAUAAGCUUUUGUGAUGCAUCCGAUGAAGUGAGCUGUAACUCACGAAAGCUUAUGCUCAAAUAAAUUGGUUAGUCUCUAAGGUGCCACAAGUCCUCCUUUUCUUUUUGCGGAUACAGACUAACACGGCUGCUACUCUGAAACCAUUCAAUACAGAGAGUGACUGGUUUAAGAGCCAAUAUCUUGUGACCCAUGAGAGCUCGAGAGGUCUAGUCCAGCCCCUAGACUGAGGCAGGACCAAGGAAACCUAGAGCAUCCCUCACAGGUAUUUGUCUAACCUGUUCUUAAACACCUCAUAUGAUGGGGAUUACACAGCCUCUUUUGGAAGCCUAUUUCAGUGCUUAUCUAUCCUUAUAGUUAGAAGACUUUUCCAAAUAUCUAACCUAAGUCUCUCUUGUUGCAGAUUAAGCCCAUUACUUCUUGUCCUUCAUGUCCACUGUAGAUAUAGGACAAUUGAUUACUGUCCUCUUUGUAACAGCCUUUAAUGUAUCUAAAGACUUACGAGGUCCCCCCUUCAAUCUUCUUAGGACUAAACAUGCCCAGUUUUUAAAAAAUCUUUCCUCACAGGUCAGGUUUUCUACAUUUAUCUGUUUUGUUGCUGACCUCUGAACUCUCUCCAAUUUGUUCACAUCUUUCUUAAAGUGUAGUGCCCAGAACUGUACACAGUACUCCUAGUAAGUGUCGAGUAGAGCAGAAAAAUUUCCUCCCUGGUCUCACAUACAAAACACUCCUGUUAAUAUACCCAUAAUACUAACCCUUUUUGCAGCUGCACCACAUUGUUGGCUCAUAUUCAAUUUGUGAUAUUCUAUAAUCCCCAGAUCCUUCAGUACUGCUGCCUAGCUAGUUAUUCUCCAUUUUAUAUUUGUGCAUUUGAUUUUUCCUUCUUAAGUGUAGUACUUUGCACAUCUUUAUUGAAUUUCAUCUUGAUUUCAGAGCAGUUCUCCAAUUUGUCAAGGUAAUUUUGAAUUCUAGUCUUGUCCUCCAAAGUGCUAAGAAUCCUUCCCAAUUUGGUGCCAUCCACAAAUUUUAUAAGCAUAUGCUCCACUCCAAGUCAUUUAUGAAAAUAUUCACUGGUAUUGAAGCCAGAACAGACCACUGUGGGACCCCAGUAGCUACAUCCCUCGUUUGACAGUAAACAGUUUAUAACUACCUUCAACUAGGUUUGCACCCAACUUACAGUAAUUUCAUCUAGAUCACAUUUCCCUAGGUUGCUUAGGAGAAGGUCACAUAGUACUGUGUCAGAAACCUUACUAAUAGCGCAUAGACAGCUUCCUUCGUCCAAUAGGCCAACAACAGUGAAAAAGAAAUUAGAUCAGCUUGGCAUGAUUUGUUCUUGACAAAUCCAUGUUAGUUAUUAUCUUCUAGGUCAGGGGUCAGCAACCUAUGGCAUGCGUGCUGAUUUUUAAUGGCACACUGCUGUCUGCUGGGGACCCCGGCAGACAGCAGCAUGCCAUUAAAAAUCCGGCCCGGCCUGCUCUUCUCCGGCCCCCUGCCUACCACUCCCUCCUUGCAGGGCAGGCAAGCUUCCCCCCACCUCUUCCCCCAGCUGGGUUCCUGCCCCUCCUCCUCUCCCUCCCUGUGACCGAUCAGCUGAGGGCCCUUGCUAUGGAGGGGAAAAGGGAAAAGUGGAGCUGCAGUGUGCUCUCUGCUCCGGGGACCUUGGGGAAGGGGGUGGAAUCAGCAUGUCCCCUCCUGCUGUGAGCCACUCAGGGCAGGGGGCUGGGAGCACCUCCACGACCCCAGCCCAUACUCCCAGCCCUGACCUCCCUCACCCCCUACACACACCCAGCCUCCUGCCCUGACCCCUGCACCCCCCCACACCCUAUGCCUUGGCUAUUGCACCCCCCACCCAGAGCACCAAACGGGAGCUCCUGCACACACGCCCCUCCCCACCUGCACCCCUUGCACCAAUGGAGCUGCCCAGGUAAGCACUCCACACCGAAACCUCCUGCCCCAACACUGAGCUCCCGCCCUCAUUCUAGCUCCUAGCCAGACCCUGCACCCCAACCGCCAGCCUGCUCCUUCACCCCCAGCCCUGUUCUCAGCCCACUCCCACCCUCAUCUCAGUGCAGAGAGGGGAAGAAAAUGGGCUAGAACCAGGGAGAAGGUAGGUACCCACUGUACGUGGACAAGGCCGGGACCCCAGAAUGGCAGCGGGCUGAGCCGCUCAGCCCACUGCUGGUCUGGGGUUCUGGCUGCCGGCCCCUUGCCAGCCGGGGACCUGUCCGCAGGCCCCGCUCAGCCUGCUGCCAGCCUAGGUGAACAGAACUCCAGGCCGGCAGCGGGCUUGCGGUGUAAGGUCAGCAUUUUAAUUUAAUUUUAAAUUAAGCUUCUUAAACAUUUUGAAAACCUUGUUUACACAUACGACAAUAGUUUAGUUAUACAGACAUAGAGAGACACCUUAGUUUAGUUAUAUAGACAUAGACACCUAAAAAACGUUAAUGUAUUAUUGGUACACAAAACCUUAAAUUAGAGUGAAUAAAUGAAGACUCGGCACACCACUUCUGAAAGGUUGCCAACCCCUGCUCUAGGUGAUUAUAAAUGAUCAAUCAUUUGUUCCAGUAUUUUCCCAGGUAUCAAAGUUAGACAACUGGUCUAUAAUUCCCUGAGGUCCUCUCCUCCCCUCCCCCUUUUAAAAGAUAUAUUGUGUUUUCCUCUCUCUCUCCUAACAGAGGUAUCAGAAAUCAAAACUUUUAAGUAUUACAGAGAUAUUUGGAGUAAUUUUUUGAAAUUUUAACAUUUAGAAUUUCACCCCACCUGGGGUUUGGGAUGCAUGGUGCAAAGGGAGCCUGACAUUACAAGGGCCAGGAUAAAAAACAGAAUCAAUAAUAGUUGUGAAACACUAAAUUGUUCCCUCUGUAAAUAGGGGGGCAUAGCCAAGAUACAUAAUGCUGUGGGGGUAGUGUACAGAUUUUAUUGGCACUCGUUUGGGAUGAUCUGGGCAAACUCACUUGUAAGCAUAAGUGGUGAAACCAAUGUACUCAUCCCAAACUCAUACUGAUAAAAACCCCUCUUCUUAACAGUUGUGGUGCUCAGAAUAAGUACUGGGGCUGCAGGUAGCAAUCUGCAACCCUUCCCUACACCCUAUCCUAGAAGUUGACUAUAUUUUCAAAGAGAACGUGAGGACACACUGGGCAAAGGCAUCACUGGAAGCCUUUUGCUGGGGAUAAGGCGGGGAACUGGGCAGCAAAAGAGGUGCACCUUCCAACUCAGCCCAUGUCUCCUUGUUUGUCCCACUAAUCAACUAGUACCUCAUUGCACUCAACCCAUCCCCCAAGCAGCUUAGAAACUUCAGGCUUCCUCAACUCCCUCCAAACCAACUCCCACCUACUCAGAAGUACUCCUCAUCCCCCAACUUGCAUACUACCUACUUUACUUCUCCACAGGUCAGCUCCAGGGCUGGAUUACCCAGUAGGUAGACUAAGCACGUGCUUAGGGCACCAGCAAAGCAGGGGGCACCCCAAAAAAAAGUUUGGGGGGCAGGGAAUUGGAUAUUUCAAAAAAAGCAUUGAAGUAGUCAUCAUGGGAAAAAUCAGAACUUUGUUAGACUUCCUUACACUCCACUACACACUUUCUCAAAGUGCAGAUGUCAAUCUUAUGACAACGCUGCCAACAUGUCAGGGCGUUAUCAAGGAAUGCAGAAGCAGCUUUUAGAACAGAACAAAUAUGCCCUAUUCAUAUCAUGUGCUGCACACUUUCUCAAUCUUGCUGGCCACAGUGCUGUUGAUUGUUGUCCAGUGGCAGUAAGUUUUUUCUCAACAGUCCAGUUACUUUAUACAUUUUUCUCUGCCUCAACACAUUGAUGGGCAGUUCUUAAAACGUAUUUGGGCAAUGAUCUUGUGUUGAAAUCUCUAAUACUCGCUGGGAGGCACAUGCAGUGGCAACAAGUGCAAUUCUGGAGUCCUACUCAAAGAUUGUGGAUGCAUUAGGAAGUAUAGCUGAAGACCAAUCACAAAAGGGAGAAACUAUACUAGAAGCAGAAAACAUUGCAAACAAGAUGCAAGAACUAGAGUUUGAAUUCAUGUUGACCAUGUGGAAUGAAAUUUUACAACACUUUUACCACACAAGUCAAGCUCUCCAAGAAAAAGAAUUGAAUUUGAAAACAUGUGCCAGACCUCUGUCAAUCAUUAGCAGACCACUUACACACUUUGAGGAAUGAUUUUGAAAGAUUUGAAGACCUAUCAAAAGACAUCUUGCCUGAUACUAACUACAAAGAAGCCCAGUCCCGCAAGCAAAUCAGGAAAAAACAAGCAAAUGAUAGCAGUGCAACAGAAACAGCAUUGAAUCCUAGAGACAAAUUUUGCGUAUCUACUUACUACGCUAUAAUUGAUACACUUGAAGCUCAUAAGAAGAGGAGAGGUGAAAUGUACAAAAGUAUCAAGUAGAUAGUCUUUUCUAAACGAUAUGGACUUAUCUGACGAACAGUAUUCACAACGUUCCCAAAAGCUAGUUGACUCAUACUCUGUUGACUUGAACAUGAAUCUCUUUGAAGUAUGGCAGUUCCACAGUUGCAUGCGUGCAAAGUUUAAUGAAACAGGAAAAAUGAAAUUCAGUCACAUGGAUCUUCAUGACACAAUAUUGAAAGACGGAAUACAAUGUGUAUUUUCAAACGUAGAGAUCGCACUACGUAUUUUUCUAACAUUGAUGAUUACUGCUCCGCAGAAUGCUCUUUUUCUCAGCCAAAAAGAAUAAAAAACCCUUAGAGAACAACAAUGUGUCAAGACAGACUUGGUUCACUUUCCCUAUUGUGUAUGGAAGCAGACAUGCUUCGUCGAGUCAGCUUCGAUGAAUUUAUCCAGAAUUUUGCAAUCAGAAAAUCUAGAAAGAAGCUAUUUUAAUUUCAGCAUACAUGUAAGUUUUGUGUCAUUUCGAAACAUUUUAUUUUACAGUAUUUUUAUUUUGAACAACAUAGGGGGGACACCAUAAUCUUUUCAGUGCUUAGGACCUCUAAAGGUAUUAAUACGGCCGCUUUGGUUGGAAGUGAACUCUUCCAACCAAACACUCUCAUGCUAAGAAUACACUAUUUCCCCCCCCCACAUGCUCCCUAACACUCAAAAUUCUUCCUGAGUCUGGAAAAGCAGGGGCAAAGCUAGCAGGAAGUCUGAGCAGUGACAGGGUGGUCUGGUGUUUUGUGGGGUAAGUAUUUUAGGGAAGGUUUCGGUCAUCAGUAAAACAUAUGCAUGCGCUAUGAUUAAAUCAGUGAAUGUGAUACAAAUGGAGUAGGGAAGAUUCAUUUGUUUUGGGAUUUUCCCUUUCUUUUUUGGCUCUUUUGGGAAUCAAAACAGGCAGAUUCCUGACACUUAGGAAUCAGUUGAGUUGCCUUAACCACCAUUUGUCUCAAAAAGAUGGGGGCUAAUUGUCCCGAUUUAAUCCUCAACAAAUCUCAUGUGGCCCCUGAAGAAAGCAGUGUCUGUUGCCAGUCAGGACCAGAUAAAAAAAAUAGUACAGGUCUUUGGGAGGAGAGCAAGUCAAAGGUUGGAAGCUGCUAGCCAUCUGCUUCCAAAUGUGGGGACAGUGAAGUUAAAACCCUGGAGGGCUGCAGUUGGAAAACCCAGCUGGGGAAUCUGAAUUGUGACAGAGGGAGCAGAGAAGGGAAGCGUUGGAAUCUUUUGGUACAUUUACUCUUCCAGCUCAGGGGAGAACAAAUGAAAACAUCUAUUCCACCUUAGAGAGAGAGCGCGUGAGAGAGAGAAAAGGAAUGGACUGGUGACUAUUUUCAGGGUGCAUCCCUUUGACAAGCGAACAGCCCUACUCUUUUCCUUUGAGGGGCUAGCCCCUUGGAAACGGCAUUCCUGUUCUGUGCCUUUGCUGCAUGAAAUUAUUUCCUGAAGAGCCAGAAGUGGCUCAACAGUAGCCAGGUGUGCUGCACCUCCAGCCAGUGGCAGCAGCUGGUACUUCAGGGUGCUGUACAUAAGAAAAAAAACCCCACAGAGAUGUGGCUUAGCUCCAUUAAUCCCGAAGCACCAUCCACCUCAUUUGUACCAUACCACAGCACCAUGUCUGUGUGUGGACAGGUGUACAUGGCCCAUUUAUAUUUUUCCCCCAUAUUUAAUUGUACCCAGCCAGGCAAAAAUGAAGGUCACUUUCCACAGUGAAGGAGGAACACAAGUGUUAAGUAAGGCUUGUGUGGUAAGCUGCCUGUAUGUUUACCUUGAUGGCCAGUAAUAAAAAAACAGAAAAGUUAACUGUUUACCAGAUAGGCCUGGAUGAGGUCAGUUUCCAAAGUAUCCUGUCCAAUCACCAUCUUUGGAGUUUCUUUUUCAGGAGGUUGUGCGGGAAACAGUUUUGCUAAAGCACCAACUCAUUAAAAUGCUUCUGAGUAUGCAAAAAUAUUAAUU